ensembl:snoRNA
GUACAAGAAAAAAAAUGAUGCAGGAAUUUAAGAGGCUCACGCAGAAGGGCAAAGGAAACCUUCAUGGAACCCAGAGAAGAGACUUAAAAACUCUCUAUGUCCUGUCUGGAGUUACAGUU